rnacentral:sRNA from 1 species
UGUCAUCAAAUUAUGGAUGUAUUUUUACUUAUUCUACUGUCUCAUCUGCUUUGGCAUCAGCGCUGAAUAGAUUUAAGACAUCUGCGCAUGUGUCUUCAGGUGCUGAAGAAAAACACCCUUCUCUGUACAUUGCCUAUUGGGCUGACACUUAAACAUUGCUCUGGGAUGUUGCAAACAGACCAAGCUAGAAAGGUACAAAAUGACUUUAUGUGCCUUAGUUGGAAUGUUGAUCUUAUUCUCUUAGACAAUCAACUUGUCUCUCUCUGCAUCCUAUUACACGCUGAGGACAGAAUAUUUGGAGGAUGUUGUACCUGCCCCCGAAACACUGCAACUCACUUCUGCUGCUUUGUAGGAGUUGGAAAAUUGAGAAACUAUAAAGAAGAGAUUCUACCCUGCACUGUGGAUUCCCAGUGUUUUAUUUUGGAUGCCUUAUUCACCCAAGAGCAACAAGUUACGAAGGCAUCGAGAAAGCAUGGACAACAGCUGAGUCUUAUCACUGUGUGGCAGGGAUGGAUUUCUGGAAGACAUGCAAGAAGAGGCUACUGAUGAGAGUGCACCCCAGUUGCAACAAGUGGCUGCAUUUCUAAGGAAAAGUGACCCUUGCUCAUCCAGCAGUCAUCAGUACUAAUGGAACCCAGGAUUAUUUCCAAGAAGUGCAAAUAUGGGAUGAAAUUUUUCUUUUGAAGAAUUCGAUUGGUUGGCUGAGGAGAGAAUUCAAUGGAUUUCCCAUUGGUAAUGCACUGAAUUUGAUGUACUGUGAUUCCCAGGCAAGCAUGAUUCAAUGCAUUUGACCAUCUUCCUAAGUCCAGAACAAUGGCAUGAAGAAUUUAUAGUUGUGCUUUGUUUUGUUUUGUUUUUCAUGAACAU